GCUGUGUCGCGCCCCCCCCCCAACGCGCUGCCUCCCCGUCCCAUUUGUGUCCUCUGGCCAUCGCCCUCUCUGGUAACGCCCAUCACUGCAAAGACCCUUUUCCUUCAUCGGCGUUUGCUGUUCUUCCUGCCAGUGCGUGUUGCUUUCACUUACACUUGCCACAGCCAGCCUCGUGAGUGCCUAGCCUAUUGGAUAUUACUGUCACCUACACAGGACAGUCAUUACCUUUCUAUUAAUACUUUGUUUUUUAAUUUCACAUUAAUUUCCAUAUUGUAUAAACGACUGGAAAAAACUUGAGCCCCUGCCCCUGUAUAAUCAUGUGCACGUCUCUGUUCUAGCUCUAAGGUGAAUCUUCACUGCUCAUGUUCUCCUCAGAAGCAGUCACCUCACUCCCCUCAGGUUACUGUACACAUGCACCAACUGCCUGCUUCAGGUUUGGAUGGAGCUUCAUGGUUGUCUUUUGGAGAAAUGACCAGUCAAGUUGUGUUUGAAAUUUGAUUUUUUUCAGGGGCAAAAGGAGCCUCUGCAUUCUUGUCAAAUAUGUAAAUAGCAUGUUUUUGCAGGUGCUAAAAACCAGACUCUGAGUGUGUGUGUGUGCGUGUGUGUGUGUGUCUGUGUGUGUGUGUGUGUGUGUGUGUGUGCGUUCAAGUCACAUGACAUAUUUAACCGGAUGUAGCUGCAAGACGGAGCCUCGUUGACUCUCCGUUUCAAUUUAUCUCAAAAGUGAGGACCUCAACCUAUAUACCAGUUUUUAAAUUGUGUUGAUAGGCCAAAUAAAACCAGAGUUAUGAUAAAUUAUGUCCGCGAUACUUGUUUUCUGCUUAUUUUGAUCACAUUCGGCGCUCGAUCGCGCUGUAUGAGACAGGAAAACAUAGCAUGCAGACAUUAGCGACAGGUCUUACAGGCGGAAAAGGCUUGCCAAAAGAAAAAAAAAACACACCACAACAUCUCUCCUAUUGGUGGAAAACUUCACCACAACAACCAAUCCAAAAUUAUAUGGUGAUUGAUUGACAAGGGGCGGGAACUUACGUUCUUCCUGCAAUAUGAGAAGGGAGGGAGGGACUCUCAGCAGGGAUGCAGUCUGGGACACGUAGUUGCAAACCUAGCGACUUUGUUGUUAGAUUCAAUGACUUUUCAGACCCCCUAACGACUUUUUUUUUAGAAAGAAAGUGACUUUUAUCGACUUCUUCUGGAGUUUAGAGACUCUGACAUGAAGCAGGCUUUCCUUACUGAGGAGUUAGCAACGCUGCUAAGGGUGAAGAGCCACACAUGCGCUCCGAGCUCUGCAUGGGAGACUGAAGCUGACAGAGCUGCAGCAGUUAGCAGGUUUCACCCUCAGAGACCACCAGGGGUUCAUGUUGAGGCAUUUUCAGUUUUUUUUUUUUUUUUUUUUUGCCAUAGACACUGUCAGCACAAUCUGCAGUUACACUAACAAAAAUGCUGCAAAAAACAAAGAAUUAUGGAAAAAUUACACAUGGACUAACAUAGAGGAGGAUCUACACAAGUUUUUUACAUCAUGUUUUACAUCAUGCAUCAUUUACAUCAUGUUUUUUUGUAGUGGCAUAAAUAAAAAGUGACAUUUGUGAGACUAUACAGUGUUUUGUAAAUAAUUUUACAAAGAACACCUGGGCCAUUGCCUGCAUUUUGAUGUCAAUAGAGGUAAAUUACUAUGUUCUUUGUUAAAAAUUUGCAUAUGUUUUGAAGUUUACAAUUUUUAUUUGAAGUUUAAGUUUUAAAAACAGUUCAUCACACAUAUUUGUGGUUUUCACAGUAAAAACGUUACUUUUUUCCACUCGGAUUUUAUGUUUUGUGUGUGAAUUUGGGUCCAAUGUGUAAAUAUAGUAUGUCAAAAUGAUAAAAUAACUGUAAAUUGACACAGGUGAGGUUGUGCUGAAAAAAAUGAUACCAGGCAAGGCAAGGUAAAAAUUUUGUAAGAGGAAAUAUAAAGGUAAAAUCUAAAGUAGUCAAAAACGGCCAAUAGUGACUCACAGACUCCACAGACAAGUCCCUUUGGCGCCACUCAGUGGGCAAAACUACUUUGUCUACUGUAAUGUAUAUUUGGGUCAUCUUUGGCGCCCCCUAAAACGUAAACCGUGGGGUGCAGCGUCAUGAUUUUUACAACUUUGAAUGGCCAUGGAGUGUAGAUUGGCCUGAGCAAAUUUGGUGUCAGUGGGACGAAAGCCUUAGGAGAAGUUAGCGAAAUUCCAAUGUGUGCGAAUCGGCAAAAAAUGCAAAAUAGCCCUUUUACCGUACAUUAUACAGAUACGCGCUCUUUGACUUUUUCGUAGAUCUAAUUGAGAUACACAUGAUUGUCAAUUUUUGUGUCAUUUUGCCAAAGCGUACAGGCGUGACAGUCAACAAUGUGUAUUUUCACCUUAGGGGACAAGAAAAAAUGGACUUUUUUCUCCUGCCAUGGGGGGGCGCUCUUUUAGGGAGUAAAAAUUCCUUCACAAAUGUGUUGAUGGCUGGACAUUGCAUCAUCCUAGAAAACUUGGAGGCCAGUGAGGACAAAAAUAAAAAGUUAUAAGACUUUUAAAAAUGUGGAUUUUUGGGUUAUCUUUGGCGCCCCCUAGAACGUAAACCGUGGGGUGCAGCGUCAUGAUUUGAAUAACUUUUAAUGGCCAUGGGGUGUAAUUUGGCCUGAGCAAAUGUGGUGCCGGUGGAACGAAAGCCUUCGGAGGAGUUAGCGAAAUUCCAAUGUGUGCGAAUCGGCAAAAAAUGCGGAAUAACCCUUUAACCGUACAUUAGACAGAUACGCGCGCAUUGACUUUUUCGAAGAUCUUAUUGAGAUACAUGUGUGUGUCAAUUUUUGUGUCAUUUUGACAAAGCGUAUAGGCGUGACAGUCAACAAUGUGUAUUUUCACCUUAGGGGACAAGAAAAAAUGGACUUUUUUCUCCUGCCAUGGGGGGGCGCUCUUUUGGGGAGUAAAAAUUCCUUCACACAUGUGUUGAUGGCUGGACAUUGCAUCAUCCUAGAAAACUUGGAGGCCAGUGAGGGCAAAAAUAAAAAGUUAUAAGACUUUUAAAAAUGUGGAUUUUAGGGUUAUCUUUGGCGCCCCCUAGAACCUAAACCGUGGGGUGCAGCGUCAUGAUUUGAAUAACUUUUAAUGGCCAUGGGGUGUAGAUUGGCCUGAGCAAAUGUGGUGCCGGUGGAACGAAAGCCUUCGGAGGAGUUAGCGAAAUUCCAAUGUGUGCGGAUCGGCAAAAAAUGCGAAAUAACCCUUUAACCGUACAUUUGACAGAUACGCCCGCACUGACUUUUUUGUAGAUCUUAUUGAGAUACAUGUGUGUGUCAAUUUUUGUGUCAUUUUGACAAAGCGUACAGGCGUGACAGUCAAUAGUGUGAAUUUUCACCUUAGGGGGCGCUAUGGAGCCAUUUUGCAUUUUCUUGUUUGGGCGACUUCGGAAUAUCAAAUUUUUCACCAGGCCCGGUCGUCCUGCCAAAUUUCCUGAGUUUUCGCCAGUGGGAAGUGGGCCAUUUUCCAGUUCAAAGGGGAGGAAAAAGAAAAAAGAAACAAAGAAAAACCACUUGGGGAAUAAUAGGGCUCUCGCAGCUGCUUAGCAGCUACGCUCGGGCCCUAAAUAACAAAAGAAGGAAACAUGCAGGAACAAGAGGGCUCUCGCAGCUGCUUAGCAGCUACGCUCGGGCCCUAACUAGGACCCCGUUGGGGCACUGGCGGGCCCGAGCUGUGUCGCGUCCCCCCCCCAACGCGCUGCCUCCCCGUCCCAUUUGUGUCCUCUGGCCAUCGCCCUCUUUGGUAACGCCCAUCACUGCAAAGACCCUUUUCCUUCAUCGGCGUUUGCUGUUCUUCCUGCCAGUGCGUGUUGCUUUCACUUACACUUGCCACAGCCAGCCUCGUGAGUGCCUAGCCUAUUGGAUAUCACUGUCACCUACACAGGACAGUCAUUACCUUUCUAUUAAUACUUUGUUUUUUAAUUUCACAUUAAUUUCCAAAUUGUAUAAACGACUGGAAAAAACUUGAGCCCCUGCCCCUGUAUAAUCAUGUGCACGUCUCUGUUCUAGCUCUAAGGUAAAUCUUCACUGCUCAUGUUCUCCUCAGAAGCAGUCACCUCACUCCCCUCAGGUUACUGUACACAUGCACCAACUGCCUGCUUCAGGUUUGGAUGGAGCUUCAUGGUUGUCUUUUGGAGAAAUGACCAGUCAAGUUGUGUUUGAAAUUUGAUUUUUUUCAGGGGCAAAAGGAGCCUCUGCAUUCUUGUCAAAUAUGUAAAUAGCAUGUUUUUGCAGGUGCUACAAACCAGACUCUGAGUGUGUGUGUGUGCGUGUGUGUGUGUGUCUGUGUGUGUGUGUGUGUGUGUGUGUGCGUUCAAGUCACAUGACAUAUUUAACCGGAUGUAGCUGCAAGACGGAGCCUCGUUGACUCUCCGUUUCAAUUUAUCUCAAAAGUGAGGACCUCAACCUAUAUACCAGUUUUUAAAUUGUGUUGAUAGGCCAAAUAAAACCAGAGUUAUGAUAAAUUAUGUCCGCGAUACUUGUUUUCUGCUUAUUUUGAUCACGUUCGGCGCUCGAUCGCGCUGUAUGAGACAGGAAAACAUAGCAUGCAGACAUUAGCGACAGGUCUUACAGGCGGAAAAGGCUUGCCAAAGGAAAAAAAAUACACACCACAACAUCUCUCCUAUUGGUGGAAAACUUCACCACAACAACCAAUCCAAAAUUAUAUGGUGACUGAUUGACAAGGGGCGGGAACUUACGUUCUUCCUGCAAUAUGAGAAGGGAGGGAGGGACUCUCAGCAGGGAUGCAGUCUGGGACACGUAGUUGCAAACCUAGCGACUUUGUUGUUAGAUUCAAUGACUUUUCAGACCCCCUAACGACUUUUUUUUAGAAAGAAAGUGACUUUUAUCGACUUCUUCUGGAGUUUAGAGACUCUGACAUGAAGCAGGCUUUCCUUACUGAGGAGUUAGCAACGCUGCUAAGGGUGCAGAGCCACACAUGCGCUCCGAGCUCUGCAUAGGAGACUGAAGCUGACAGAGCUGCAGCAGUUAGCAGGUUUCACCCUCAGAGACCACCAGGGGUUCAUGUUGAGGCAUUUUCAGUUUUUUUUUUU